CUGCAUGAAUUGAAUCUUUCUGUAAAUAUGGACAAAGAAUAAGGUUGAUGAAAUUUAGAUGAGUAUUAAGUGAGUUAUAAGUGAUCAUGGGGGACCAUCAUGCAUUC